rnacentral:rRNA from 1 species
UACGAAGGGGGCUAGCGUUGUCCGGAUUUAUUGGGCGUAAAGAGCGUGUAGGCGGCCCUGUAGGUCCGUUGUGAAAACUCGAGGCUCAACCUCGAGACGCCGAUGGAAACCAUGUGGCUAGAGUCCGGAAGAGGAGAGUGGAAUUCCUGGUGUAGCGGUGAAAUGCGCAGAUAUCAGGAAGAACACCCGUGGCUAAGGCGGCUCUCUAGUACGGUACUGACGCUGAGACGCGAAAGCGUGGGGAGCGAACAGG